GACGGAGGUGGCAAACGUUGCUCGGAAUCACUGGGCUUAAAGGGCGUGUAGGCGGCCGGCUAAGUCGGGUGUGAAAGACCUCGGCCCAACCGAGGAAUUGCACUCGAUACUGGCCAGCUUGAGUGCGAGAGGGGCAAGUGGAACUCCAGGUGUAGCGGUGAAAUGCGUAGAUAUCUGGAGGAACGCCGGUGGCGAAAGCGACUUGCUGGCUCGUAACUGGCGCUGAGGCGCGAAAGCUAGGGGAGCAAACGGG
rnacentral:rRNA from 1 species